rnacentral:misc_RNA from 1 species
CUAAGUUGAAUGAUUUUGUAUCAGCAUGUAUCUCAAGUAAUCUCUUCCUAAUUGCCUUGAUUUUAUGACCCAUCUUAAAACCAUAAACGAGCCGAUUCGAAGAAGAAAAGAAAAGGCUUACCUCCUUUGUCAUUCUAUUUCCAGUCAUCACUUGGCGCUGCAAAUCUGCAGUGGCAAAGUCAUCUAUUAAGUCAUCAGCAUCAUAAACAAUUUCUUGAAGCUUUCCAAGCCAAUCUUUGACUUGUUCGUUUAGGGCCGACUUCUUCUCAGCAUCAAGAAGUACAGCCCGAAUUCUGGAGACUGUGCCUUCGAGUUUCUGAAGCUCAUCUUUGACACCCC